GCCGGGGUGGCAGAGUGGUUAAUGCGCGGGCCUCGAGAGCCCGUGACCUUUGGGUCUCGUGGGUUCGAAUCCUACCCCCGGCG
rnacentral:tRNA from 2 species